CAGUAGCCGCGGUAAUACGUAGGUGGCAAGCGUUGUCCGGAAUUAUUGGGCGUAAAGGGCUCGCAGGCGGUUUCUUAAGUCUGAUGUGAAAGCCCCCGGCUCAACCGGGGAGGGUCAUUGGAGACUGGGAAACUUGAGUGCAGAAGAGGAGAGUGGAAUUCCACGUGUAGCGGUGAAAUGCGUAGAGAUGUGGAGGAACACCAGUGGCGAAGGCGACUCUCUGGUCUGUAACUGACGCUGAGGAGCGAAAGCGUGGGGAGCGAACAGGAUUAGAUACCCCUGUAGUCCCUGUCUCUUAUAC
rnacentral:rRNA from 1 species